CCUACGGGAGGCAGCAGUAAGGAAUAUUGGUCAAUGGAGGCAACUCUGAACCAGCCAUGCCGCGUGCAGGAUGACGGCCCUAUGGGUUGUAAACUGCUUUUAUACAAGAGAAAACCCUGGUACGUGUACCAGGUUGAUAGUAUUGUAAGAAUAAGCAUCGGCUAACUUCGUGCCAGCAGCCGCGGUAAGACGAAGGAUGCAAGCGUUAUCCGGAUUCAUUGGGUUUAAAGGGUGCGUAGGCGGACUGAUAAGUCAGUGGUGAAAUCUCUUUGCUUAACAAAGAAACUGCCAUUGAUACUGUCGGUCUAGAGUAUAGAUGACGUUGGCGGAAUAUGACAUGUAGUGGUGAAAUACUUAGAUAUGUCAUAGAACACCGAUUGCGAAGGCAGCUAACGAAACUAUAACUGACGCUGAGGCACGAAAGUGCGGGGAUCAAACAGGAUUAGAUACCCUGGUAGUCCGCACCGUAAACGAUGAUUACUCGUUGUUGGCGAUAUGACAGUCAGCGACCAAGCGAAAGCGAUAAGUAAUCCACCUGGGGAGUACGCCGGCAACGGUUGAAACUCAAAGGAAUUGACGGCGNGAGAGNGCGAGGACGACGACGAGGGAGGAGG
rnacentral:rRNA from 1 species